ACGGAAGGCAGCAGUGGGGAAUAUUGGGCAAUGGGCGAAAGCCUGACCCAGCGACGCCGCGUGAAGGAAGACGGUCUUCGGAUUGUAAACUUCUUUUAUAGGGGACGAUAAUGACGGUACCCUAUGAAUAAGCCACGGCUAACUACGUGCCAGCAGCCGCGGUAAUACGUAGGUGGCAAGCGUUAUCCGGAUUUACUGGGUGUAAAGGGUGUGUAGGCGGGAUUGCAAGUCAGAUGUGAAAACUAUGGGCUUAACUCAUAGCCUGCAUUUGAAACUGUAGUUCUUGAGGGUCGGAGAGGUAACUGGAAUUCCUGGUGUAGCGGUGAAAUGCGUAGAUAUCAGGAGGAACACCGGUGGCGAAGGCGGGUUACUGGACGAUUACUGACGCUGAGACACGAAGGCGUGGGGAGCAAACAGGAUUAGAUACCCUGGUA
rnacentral:rRNA from 1 species